rnacentral:lncRNA from 1 species
UGUCGAAAAGGGUUUUAUUGUGAGAUUCUGGUAGCAUUACACAUCAAGCGCUUACUCUAUAAUUAAGAGGAUAAUGAAGAAUUUGUGAGCAUGAUUAAAGCUGUUUCUACAAAAGAAGGUCUAAAUAAUAACUUCAGCCUGGAGAUCUAUGCUCAUAACUAAUGCUGUUCUUAGAAGGGAGGUCUAAAUAAUAACUUCAGCCUGGAGAUCUUGACCAUCUUUUUGCUCAGUUUUUAGAAUGUAGCAACAUCAGUAAUCAUCUGUAUCAUAGCAUUCAUCUGUAUCAUUAAUAAAAGCUGAAAAUCCAGCCUAAUUU